rnacentral:rRNA from 1 species
UACGUAGGUGGCAAGCGUUGUCCGGAUUUACUGGGCGUAAAGGGCGUGCAGGCGGUUUGUUAAGUGCAGGGUGAAAGCUCCCGGCUCAACUGGGAGAGGUCCUUGCAUACUGGCAGACUUGAGGGAGGCAGAGGAAAGUGGAAUUCCCGGUGUAGUGGUGAUAUGCGUAGAUAUCGGGAGGAACACCUGUGGCGAAGGCGGCUUUCUGGGCCUUACCUGACGCUGAGACGCGAAAGCGUGGGGAGCGAACAGG